ACAAUGUGAAACUCCAAAUGUUUAAAUUUUUUAUCAUGACAAACAGACAGCACCAGAAUCCUCGGUGACAUCUUCAGUUAAACCUGCUUUCAACACAAAUGGAAUUAGAGACGAUAAAGAUUGUCAGGUAAGUCUUGGUUUACACCGAUCAAAAAGAUGCCAUCAAAACAAUUAGAAAAUGAGAAACUCUUAGUUUACACCGACCAAAAAGAUGCCACCAAAACAAUUAGAAAAUGAGAAAAACUGAGAUAAUAUAAAUCUGCGAGAAAAUUAUAUUGAAAAGUACGAGAAUACAUAUAUCACUCUGAUUUCACAAAUACAAAUCGAUAAAGAGUAAAGACCGAUGAAAAAUAAAUCGGCACGAAAUAUACAAUCAACAAUAUGAAACUACAUAUCAC
rnacentral:lncRNA from 1 species